rnacentral:rRNA from 1 species
CGAUGAAUCUUCUAGCUUGCUAGAAGUGGAUUAGUGGCGCACGGGUGAGUAAUGCAUAGGUUAUGUGCCCUUUAGUCUGGGAUAGCCACUGGAAACGGUGAUUAAUACUGGAUACUCCCUACGGGGGAAAGUUUUUCGCUAAAGGAUCAGCCUAUGUCCUAUCAGCUUGUUGGUGAGGUAAUGGCUCACCAAGGCUAUGACGGGUAUCCGGCCUGAGAGGGUGAUCGGACACACUGGAACUGAGACACGGUCCAGACUCCUACGGGAGGCAGCAGUAGGGAAUAUUGCUCAAUGGGGGAAACCCUGAAGCAGCAACGCCGCGUGGAGGAUGAAGGUUUUAGGAUUGUAAACUCCUUUUGUUAGAGAAGAUUAUGACGGUAUCUAACGAAUAAGCACCGGCUAACUCCGUGCCAGCAGCCGCGGUAAUACGGAGGGUUCAAGCGUUACUCGGAAUCACUGGGCGUAAAGAGUGCGUAGGCGGGGUAAUAAGUCAGAUGUGAAAUCCUGUAGCUUAACUACAGAACUGCAUUUGAAACUGUUACUCUGGAGUGUGGGAGAGGUAGGUGGAAUUCUUGGCGUAGGGGUAAAAUCCGUAGAGAUCAAGAGGAAUACUCAUUGCGAAGGCGACCUGCUGGAACAUUACUGACGCUGAUGCACGAAAGCGUGGGGAGCAAACAGGAUUAGAUACCCUGGUAGUCCACGCCCUAAACGAUGGAUGCUAGUUGUUGCCUUGCUUGUCAGGGCAGUAAUGCAGCUAACGCAUUAAGCAUCCCGCCUGGGGAGUACGGUCGCAAGAUUAAAACUCAAAGGAAUAGACGGGGACCCGCACAAGCGGUGGAGCAUGUGGUUUAAU